CUUUAAAACUCAUGAAGGCCAAUACAGGAAGAAGGAGAUCUUGUAUCUGAAGUUCCAGUGCAUGGACAUUUGACAAGAAGCAAAAGCUGUGGCAAAAUGGCCACACCAUGUUCUAUUUUCUGAUGGUCUGUAACAACUUUAAUGAGUGUGGGAGCCAUAAGUCUUAUGUUCGGGCUCCGUCCUUGGUGAAGUCAUAUCUGCUUCUUUUGCUAUUGAUAAAGCCAUAGUUUCUGCUGCUACUUCUUUGAAAGUGAUUGGAAAUAGGUCAAAUCUGAUCUACUAUCUACCUCCGCCGUCCAGCUUUGGAAUAUUUCAUCUUGCAUUGUGGAAGAUCGCUCGAAUCUUCAGUCGCUUUGCUGCCCUUAAUAUCAGCAAAUGGACAGCUGAUUCUGUUUUUAAUGAUGUUAAAGAGUGUUUUGAAUGCCUCUUUGUUUAUUUUAUUUUCGUUGAUAAAUUGAACUUUCAUUGUUUGCUCUAUGACUUCAAAAUAUUUGACUGAGAUAUGUAUUUUAUUUUCAAUGAAGUCCCAUUUGAGAUUGCUA